AGCUUCGUGUUCGCCAUCUCGUGCACCAGACUCGCUCUGCUUCACGCUCGUUUUCUCGGCAGGUUCCGGCUCGUACUCGCGCCCGUGAUGCACCCUUUUGUGGUCUCGAAUCCAUCGAUGGGAAUCGUGCAGGAAUCGAUUCUGGAGUUGUUGAGUUGUUGCAAGCUUUCGUCGAAGGCACAGGGCGGUACCCGUCGCACGCUACAGCGUGUCCAGCGCCCUACGCUACCACCGAGCGACGCGACUUGUCAGGCCCAGCCUUUUCCAUUUCAUUCCGGAAGUUGGUGAAUGCGCGAUUCUUGCCUCUGCGCAACCGCAUCGCGGUCUCUUGGACGCUUGCCGGAGACCUUUCGCAUCAGCAGAGUGAACGCUCAAGAGCACACUGAAUGAGGCACGGGAAGCGUCCGUCUCUCCCGGACGCGGUGCACGGGGUGUCGAGACGGCUCACGCUGCCGUCAGUCAGCUUGCUGGCGGUUUGUCUCUCGGCACCCAUCGGAUCUGAACCGCAAUCACAUAGAGUCCUGGGGAAGUUGCGCAGGUGUAUCCACUUUCAGUUCAUAUCUUCGGACAAGUCCUCUCGAUUGAGCGGUAUGGCGGCGGUCAUGAUAUAUUCUGCAAACCGGGAACAACGCUCACCACAGAGUCUGGCUCCUCACUUGCCAUGAACAGAUGAAAACGAGGGUCGCUGUGCGACUGAGGCAUAGGUUUCACAAAGUGCACGCUCGCUGGUAUUCCAUCGGUCUCCAUGGUCGCUGGAAACCGCUUCUCAAGUGCUGCUUGCAAAGGAGAAACCUGGAACGAGCUCCGCCGAUGCCCUACGCGAAGCUGUUCGCAAGAAGCACAGUUGCUCGCAGAGAUCAGCUGCAGCUUACUCAGGAGGAUAUCAAGUAGGCGGCGCAAGGAUCUAUGCCGACAUCAUGGGUCUGUACCCGACGUACAGAGAUGACAUGGAGUAGACGCUUCGGGAGACAAGGUCGCUCGGGUUCGGGGAGGGCGCCUCUACCGCGCUGCACCACUAGGCUCUGUGCUGCUCUGCAGCGCUCUGCUCUGGAAUACGUCGCAGCGCAAGACGCUAGUAGGGCAGGCGUCACGUCUCAAGUAUCCUUCGCGCACGACGGUUACCAGUCCGAGACCGAGAGCAACACGAUGCGCUUGGGUGGUAUAAAACGUGUGUCGCUCUCGUUGCGACAGCUCUUCUGAACCCGCUCCAUCUCGACCGCUGGUGGCUCCACCAGCUCGCCAUCUGUCUUCAUGAACAGACCCAAGAAAACCUUUCACCAGCGCCCAGUUUCCUGGGCCAGUAAGCGAAUGCACAAAGGUCACAGGGUGCGCUUCACCAGGCGCUCCAGACUGGCUUGCAUACUGUUUUCGUGUUCGAACCUAGUUUCGUACGUUUUGGCACCGGUUUCAUCGAUGUUGUCAUAGAGGACGCGGUGCGACGAAGCGUGACGUUAGUCUGGGAAGUGUUUGUGUGCUCAUCCCGUAUCCGAUUUUCAGACCUUGAGCCGUCUUGAGUCGCGAGCGUCAGCUGUGCUGCAUCACGAGGGUUUCAUCGAAACACUGCACAGAACUGAGGACCGCUCGCAACUCAGGUACCGUAACGCUUAUGAGCAACUGCUAGGCAAGAAGUGUCAAGACUAAAGAAGCUACGUAACCAAUCAUGGCAUCCUGCAUCUUUCGGUGCCAAGCUUGUGAUCGACUUGUGCUCUGACCUCUGAACGUAAAUGGUUUUUGAUGACAGCGUACAUGACAUUGACCGGAUUAAACUAGGGAGCGUAGACCGACACGAAGAGCCGCUCAAC
rnacentral:misc_RNA from 1 species